rnacentral:rRNA from 1 species
CGAACGCUGGCGGCGUGCUUAACACAUGCAAGUCGAACGGAAAGGCCCUGCUUGCAGGGUACUCGAGUGGCGAACGGGUGAGUAACACGUGGGUGAUCUGCCCUGCACUUCGGGAUAAGCCUGGGAAACUGGGUCUAAUACCGGAUAGGAGCCAUUUUUAGUGUGAUGGUUGGAAAGUUUUUUCGGUGUAGGAUGAGCUCGCGGCCUAUCAGCUUGUUGGUGGGGUAAUGGCCUACCAAGGCGGCGACGGGUAGCCGGCCUGAGAGGGUGGACGGCCACAUUGGGACUGAGAUACGGCCCAGACUCCUACGGGAGGCAGCAGUGGGGAAUAUUGCACAAUGGGCGCAAGCCUGAUGCAGCGACACCGCGUGGGGGAUGACGGCCUUCGGGUUGUAAACUCCUUUCGCUAGGGACGAAGCUUUUUGUGACGGUACCUAGAUAAGAAGCACCGGCUAACUACGUGC